CUGCGUAUUCCCUACUGAUUCCAGGAAUCCUGUUUGGAGGGUUUCCAGAUUCCCUGCGUAUUCCCUACUGAUUCCAGGAAUCCUGUUUGGAGGGUUUCCAGAUUCCCUGCGUAUUCCCUACUGAUUCCAGGAAUCCUGUUUGGAGGGUUUCCAGAUUCCCUGCGUAUUCCCUACUGAUUCCAGGAAUCCUGUUUGGAGGGUUUCCAGAUUCCCUGCGUAUUCCCUACUGAUUCCAGGAAUCCUGUUUGGAGGGUUUCCAGAUUCCCUGCGUAUUCCCUACUGAUUCCAGGAAUCCUGUUUGGAGGGUUUCCAGAUUCCCUGCGUAUUCCCUACUGAUUCCAGGAAUCCUGUUUGGAGGGUUUCCAGAUUCCCUGCGUAUUCCCUACUGAUUCCAGGAAUCCUGUUUGGAAGGUUUCCAGAUUCCCUGCGUAUUCCCUACUGAUUCCAGGAAUCCUGUUUGGAGGGUUUCCAGAUUCCCUGCGUAUUCCCUACUGAUUCCAGGAAUCCUGUUUGGAAGGUUUCCAGAUUCCCUGCGUAUUCCCUACUGAUUCCAGGAAUCCUGUUUGGAGGGUUUCCAGAUCCCCUGCGUAUUCCCUACUGAUUCCUGGAAUCUGCCAAUUUAAGGAAAACUUGAACAUUUUUGAAAAAUGACCAGAAUUCAUAACCCUAAUCCUGACCUAAAAAAACAUGUUAUUUUCCUGUGUUGCUUUUAUUGACAACUGAACUCAUAGUAUAUUUCAAUAGCAGCCAUUUUCCAUAGCAGCUGUGCUUUCCAAUCAGGAGCUGAGGACAACAAACGGCAUUCAACACGUACCCUAAAACAUACACAUCUGUCCCAAAACGCAUGAUGGAGUACAUUUUAAAAACAAGCCACCAAUAGACAAUGUGUACUCUGACAUUAAGACAGCAAUACACUGUAGGUAGGUAUGAUCUUCAGGCUCCACUUACAGUACAAUAACACACAUCAAAACAAUGCCUUCAUAGUAUUACACCAACAAAAGGCAAACAGUGAUUUUAAAAAGCAAGCAUAUAGGACUUGGUUGUGGAUGAGGUGGAAUGCAAUGCACUUGUAAAGGUUUGUCAGUUAAGGUUAUUAUCCACUCGGGAUAAGAAAAGGACGUUAAGUAGUGUGUUUUCAUUUCAAAAGGAAACUUAACCACAAAGCUUCUAAAAAGAUUGAUCUAAAACAUCAUUAUCAUCAUACAUGUAGAGGACUCCGCAGGCAUGCAGAUGGUUGACUGUACAUCACUGUAAAGACACCUUCUAUAUCUUAAUACUCUGAGGCUUCCUCUCCCCCUAAUAGGGCUGUAUCUCAAAACUCUGAAGAGGCUUCCUCAACCAACUAGGGAUAUAUCUCAAUACUAUUCAUGCUUGCUCAUUGUUUCCCUUCACUGAUGAUUUUUAUAAAAGCUACGGAGACGCACCCUGGCCUAGACAGAUGACCAUGCCCUCUUGUGCCAUAUUAAAGACAGUGGUUUUCUCAAUUCUAUGCUGGUAAUACAUUUCUUUACAGUGUAAAAUGACACACUAGUCACAACUGAUGCCAGAAUAUGGCAGUCCUAUGCUGCUGCGCUUCAAAAUAUGUUGGAAUCUAUAGCUGUCCCAAAUGGCAUCCUACUCCCUAUAUAGUGCACUAAUUUGGACCAGAGACUUAUGGGACACGUACCAUGUUGUACCCCACUGAAUAAAACCCAAAAUCCUUCAGAAGCUCUCCUAAUCGAGCGGAUGUCCCUUUUUCAUUAGAUGAAGCUGUUCAUAUUGCCAUUUGCCCAGACAUACUGCAAAUAACUUUGCUUAAGUAUAAUGCAGUGUCCUUAGUAUUGACAUUUACAUAGAGAAAAGUAACUGAGGCAGGAAUCCUUGCUUGGAGGUUAGGUGUCUAUAAAGCGGGCAGAUGUUAAGGUAAGGAACAGGAUAGAGUUUAGGGGGGGGGGG